GACGAACGCUGGCGGCAUGCUUAACACAUGCAAGUCGAACGGAAAGGCCCUGCUUUUUUGGGGUGCUCGAGUGGCGAACGGGUGAGUUACCCGUGAGUAACCUGCCCUUGACUGUGGGAUAACUUCAGACAAGUGGGGCUAAUACCGGCUAGGAGCUCCUGCUGCUGGGUGGGCGUUGGAAAGUUUGGGCGGUUGGGGAUGGACUGGCGGCUUAUCAGCUGGUUGGUGGGGUAGUGGCUUACCAAGGCUUUGACGGGUAGCCGGCCUGAGAGGGUGACCGGCCACAUGGGGCCUGAGAUACGGCCCAGACUCGUAUGGUAGGCAGCAGUGGGGAAUAUUGUACAGUGGGCGGGAGCCUGUUGCAGCAACGCCGCGUGCGGGAAGACGGCCUUCGGGUAGGGAACCGCAGUCGCUUGUGACGAAGCGUUAGUGACGGUACCGGGAGAAGAAGCACCGGCUAACUACGUG
rnacentral:rRNA from 1 species